rnacentral:rRNA from 1 species
UAGCAUAACAAGUAUUAGAGGCACUGCCUGCCCAGUGACAUUAGUUUAACGGCCGCGGUAUCCUGACCGUGCAAAGGUAGCAUAAUCAUUUGUUCCUUAAUUAGGGACUUGUAUGAAUGGCCCCACGAGGGUUUAACUGUCUCUUACUUUCAAUCAGUGAAAUUGACUUUCCCGUGAAGAGGCGGGAAUAAAACAAUAAGACGAGAAGACCCUAUGGAGCUUAAAUUAACUUGUCUAUUACACCUAAACUCAAUUCAACAGAAAUAAAACCAUGUAAAUUAGACAAUAAAUUUUGGUUGGGGUGACCUCGGAGAAUAACAUAACCUCCGAGCGAUUUAAGCUAAGACUAACCCGUCAAAGUGAUAUUACUUAUUGAUCCAAUCAUAUUGAUCAACGGAACAAGUUACCCUAGGGAUAACAGCGCAAUCCUAUUUAAGAGUCCCUAUCGACAAUAGGGUUUACGACCUCGAUGUUGGAUCAGGACAUCCAAAUGGUGUAGAAGCUAUUAAUGGUUCGUUUGUUCAACG